UACGUAGGGGGCAAGCGUUGUCCGGAUUUAUUGGGCGUAAAGCGCGUGUAGGCGGCCAACUAAGUCAGACGUGAAAUCCCUCGGCUUAACCGGGGAACUGCAUCUGAUACUGGAUGGCUUGAGUUCGGGAGAGGGAUGCGGAAUUCCAGGUGUAGCGGUGAAAUGCGUAGAUAUCUGGAGGAACACCGGUGGCGAAGGCGGCAUCCUGGACCGACACUGACGCUGAGGAGCGAAAGCCAGGGGAGCAAACGGG
rnacentral:rRNA from 1 species